rnacentral:lncRNA from 1 species
UGUUUGUGGAGUCAGCCUUGGCUGUGGGGUCUAUGGGGUCAACCUCAUCUAUGGGGUCAGCCCAUGUCUAUGGGGUCAGCCCUGUUUGUGGGGUCAGCUCCAUCUAUGGGGUCAGCCCUGGCUGUGGGGUCUAUGGGGUCUAUGGGGUCAGCCCUGUUUAUGGGGUCAGCCCAUCUCUGUGGUGUCUAUGGGGUCAGCCCCAUCUAUGGGGUCAGCCCAUGUCUAUGGGGUCAGCCCUAUUUAUGGGGUCUGUGGGGUCAGGCCUGUCUAUGGGGUCAGCCCCAUUUAUGGGGUCAGCCCUGUCUGUGGGGUCUGUGGGGUCAGCCCUGUCUAUGGGGUCAUUCCUGUCUGUGGGAUCUAUGGGGUCAUCCCUGUCUGUGGGGUCUAUGGGGUCAGCCCUAUUUAUGGGGUCUGUGGGGCAGUUGUAGGGUCAGGCCUGUUUGUGGGGUCAGCCCCGUCUAUGGGGUCAGCCCU